CUGGGAGCCUUACAGUAAGAACUGGCACCAAGAUACAGAUUCACAGCCUCAAGCAACAACACUUCUAUUUAUGAAAUCCUGGUUAAACACCUUAGAUACCUAAGUAGUCUUAUUCAGUUUGCUUAUGAUGAACAUUUGCUGAUGAAUGGAGAGGCUGGUAUCUGGCAGCACAUAUUGCUCUACUAGAAAUAUACAAAUCUCUGCUGGAAC
rnacentral:lncRNA from 1 species